CGUAGGGUGCGAGCGUUGUCCGGAAUUACUGGGCGUAAAGAGCUCGUAGGUGGUUUGUCGCGUUGUUCGUGAAAACCAAAGGCUUAACCUUUGGCGUGCGGGCGAUACGGGCAGACUGGAGUACUGCAGGGGAGACUGGAAUUCCUGGUGUAGCGGUGGAAUGCGCAGAUAUCAUGAGGAACACCGGUGGCGAAGGCGGGUCUCUGGGCAGUAACUGACGCUGAGGAGCGAAAGCGUGGGGAGCAAACAGGAUU
rnacentral:rRNA from 1 species